rnacentral:misc_RNA from 1 species
AACGCACCUUGCGCUCCUUGGUAUUCCGAGGAGCAUGCCUGUUUGAGUGUCAUUAAAUUCUCAACCUUUAUCAACUUUUGUUGAUAAUGGCUUGGAUAUGGGGGUUUAUUUUGCUGGCUUCUUUACAGAUGGUCAGCUCCCCUUAAAUGCAUUAGCCGGUGCCCCGCGUGGACUGUCUAUUGGCGUGAUAAUUAUCUACGCCGUGGACAUCUGCAAUCAUAUGGGUUUGCACAGCUUCCCAACUGUCUGUUGAAUCAGACAAUACAUGACAAUUUGACCUCAAAUCAGGUAGGACUACUCGCUGAACUUAA